UUUUCUCUCUUCGCUCUCAGCCUCUCUCUUCUCUUCUCUUCUUCUCUCAGCCUCUCUUCUUUUUCAUUAAACCAUAUCAUCAUAAAAACCUCAAUCAUCACAAAAACCUCUCAGCUGAAUUGAUUAACAAACUGGGGUGUGUUGUUGCUCCUCAGGAUUUGAACUUUGAAGAACUGGUCCAAAGCUAUGUUGUUUAUGGCCAUUUGCUAUGAGUGCUGCUUCUUCGGCUUCUCUGAUGAUCCUGUUUGCUGCUGAUCCUAACCACUCAACAAACAGAUGGUCUUCAAGUUUAUAAUGAGGGUGUCACCUAAUUCAGAAAAAGACAAAGGCGCAGAGGACUAUGUAUGAGGAUUAGAAACUCGAGGAGAAAUCGAGCAAUAGGGUAAAAAAAUAGAUAAUGCAAUGGCUGAAUUGGGGAGGUUACUUAUCGAUGAAGCAUCAAGGAAUUGGCUGAGAUUCGGAGAUGGAGAUACUUCUCAAAUUCGCUUGGACCUUUAAGAGGAAAUUGUUUAUAUGGUUUGUAGUGUAAAACUUUAGGGAAGAAAAGUAAAGGAAAAAGGCUUUUUUUACCACAAAAGAAUUCUGUGGCUUAUGCACUAUUGAUUACCCUUUAUGAACGAACUUCAGAUGGAACAGGUACUCAAUUCAUGAAGAAACAAGAACUUAUUGAUGCCGCUGAGGCCAGUGGACUGUCAAGGACGUCGAUUAUGUAUGUAAUAACGUAUUGGUGUUAUCUGAUCGCGAGUGCCUAUCAAAAACCAUCACUUAGUCUAGAUGUUCGGUUGAUUGCGAUGGUUUGGGAACAUCCAAAAAUGUCCCAGAUGCAUCGGGUUUAGAAUUUGGUCAUAGUAAUUUGUCUGAUGAAGAAGUUACAUGGGAUUCAAGUAGUCAAGAGAAAUCAAUUGCUAUAGACGAAGUUUUCAAGAAGGCAAACUUUAUUCUAAGGAUUAUUUUGGUCAUCCAUGUAGGAUUUGGAAUUUUGGAUGCUGGAUUUGCUGGAUCAUCUGUCUCGACUGCCUAGGACGUUUUGUUUGUGUCUUUUUCUUAUCCAUGUUCUAAUAUUCUUUCAAACCUACGCUAAACGUCAUUUUUUUCUUAUAGACAAAUACCUAUUUUUUGUACUUAAGUUUAGUGUUUGUCUGAGUGCUCAAGUUGUUACCUGAACACCCUCUAAACGUUUUGAUUUCUUAUCUUUCAUUUUGUAGAAUGGAAGAUUGGAUGAGUUGCUCUCAGAGUGUAGGCAUACCAUGGGAAAGGUUACCCGUCCAUCCUCCAUUGUUGAAGAUAUGGGUGUAACACGUGUUCCAGAUUAUUCAUGCCGCGUUGAUUCAACACCGAGUAGUUUAGCCUUAAAAGCUUGCUCAUCUUCUGUAUGUGUAAAGGAGUAAUAUACAUGUUGAGAUUAAUCAAUUAAAUAUGUAUUUGUUUCCAUAUGACUUAUUGUUGAUUGGUUUCUCUCUAAAGAUACUAAUUUGUUCAAUUGCAGAAACCAUUCAGUUUUGGUGGUCAUGAUGCUAAUAUGAAUGCUCUAAUGAUGCCUCCUCUAAAAUUUGGGGAGAGAUUUAAGGAUGUUUAUAAUGUGAUCUUGAUAUUGGAUGAUCGAGAGCAUUUUACUAAGAGUAAAAAUGUGUCAGUUAUCUGACUCUUGUCUUGUAAUUUGACAUAUUUAUUUUUUGGAUGCAGCUGCUUGGACGAAGAACUUCAGUGGUGUAGAACUUGAAGGUGUUGUUAAAAGUGUCAUAUCAUAUGCCUUGAACAGGCAACUAAGCCUAGAAGAUCUUACUAAGACAUUGGAUGAGGAGAGUAUACAAGUAACCAUGGAUGACUUUCUGCAUGCCAUGCUCAAGAGAUGCCAGAGAAACAGUCAUUCCUCUUUCCUUUCUCACUGAUGGUGCAAGCCCUGCAGUUCAUAUGAUGAUGCAAUUAUUGAUCAGCUCAGAGAAAGAUGGUGUUCUUUGCCCCAUCCCUUAGUACCCAUUGUACUUUGCCUCAAUUGCUCUGCAUGGUGGUUCUCUUGUAUGUUUCUAAACGCACGUCAUAGAAUUAUCUUCUUUAAAAGUUGAAGUAUUAACACAGUUGUGCUACUCAAGUACUCUCAUGAUAAAUGAACCUGCUCCUUGGACAAGGUGUUUGAACCAUUCGGGUUGUGGAGCUGGUGCCUCUUGACCAGGAGACUGGACAGUGCAAAGGGUUCGGUUUUUUCGUCUUGAAGAUGCUAGAACUGCUUAGAGUUUGAAUGGGAAAUUCGACAUUGCAGAGAGGAUCAUCAAGGUGGGCAACUGCCUUUUUUUGACUGAACUUAGGAACUUAGUAAAUUUUUAUGUAUUCCCUUGGAAUUUGAUACUUAACAACAACAAAAAUUUGUACUUGGAAGAAUUUUGUUCCUUUUUGAUAUGAAUUGAUUGAAUGUUAUAUGAA